UGAAACAUCUAAGUACCCGUAGGAAAGGACAUCAACCGAGACUCCGGAAGUAGUGGCGAGCGAACCCGGACCAGGCCAGUGAUCUUGGCGAGACAAGCAGAACCAUCUGGAAAGUUGGGCGAUAUGGGUGACAGCCCCGUAUGCGUAAUGCGAACCAAGAUCCUUGAGUAAGGCGGGACACGUGAAAUCCUGUCUGAAAUUCGGAGGACCACCUUCGAAGCCUAAGUACUCGUGCAUGACCGAUAGCGAACUAGUACCGUGAGGGAAAGGUGAAAAGCACCCCAACGAGGGGAGUGAAAAAGUACCUGAAACUGGUUGCCUACAAACAGAUGGAGCCUGAAAGGGUGACAUCGUACCUUUUGUAUAAUGGGUCAGCGACUUAGUGUAUCGAGCAAGCUUAAGCCGGUAGGUGUAGGCGCAGCGAAAGCGAGUCUGAACAGGGCGUUCAGUUCGAUGCAUUAGACCCGAAACCGAGUGAUCUAGCCAUGAGCAGGUUGAAGGUGAGGUAACACUC
rnacentral:rRNA from 1 species